GGGCUCUAAGGAAGUCACGUUGUGAGCUCUAUGUAGUGCUGUGCAGCCUCCUCUGCGCAUACUCUGUUGUCUCGUCAUCUCCCUCUCUCCAUGACUGCAUGUCUGUGAGUGUAAGCCACAUUCAUCGCUUCGCAUUAUUUGGCAAUGCUGCGCUCCACGGGUGUCUCGCUGUACUACCGCGCCACAGCGGAGCUGGACCGGCUGCGGGGCAUGCUGCGCGGUCGUGCGCGGCUGGAGCGCAAGGUCGGGCUGAAGCGCAUUACCUUUCUUAUGCGCACUCAGACCCGCUACCGUGUGGAGCACAAGGCCCACUGGGAGCGCGCCAUUGUCCGCAAGAACGUCGAUAGCGCCGCCCACGAGCACGGCAGUGGGUGGCAGCACCUCCGCAACGACCUGGCUCGGCAGAAUUUGAUGCUGCUGCCUCGCACCCAGCAGCAGCUGGCUCAGUAUGAGCCGCUGGCAUUUCGCGCUGUGAUGGAGUUGUGCGCCUCGCGUGUGGCACCGCCGCCACCGCCGAUGACGGCUCAGGUGCCGGAGGAAGCCUACGCGACGCGCCCAGAGGAUCCGAAAGUGGCGCACCCGGCGGCGAGACGGCAGCUAAAGGAGUGUAUCGAGCAUAUGCUGUGCACCGGCCGCUCCGAGGUGCUGCAGCGAGAAGGUCCGCGCACAACGCAGGCGUGGAUGGAUGCGUGGAAAGAGUACGACCUUGGUUCGGCGGCGCAGAAGUGAUUUGUACUGAAUGGCAGUGCUGCUUGUGCAGAGACGCGUCAUGUUGUUGCAGUGUCGUUGUUCUUGUAAUUUCUCUUCGUGGUGUUGCGGUGGAAGUAAGCUGUCUUGUCUCCAAGAUUUGAUCACAGUUAUUCAGAGAUAGAUGGGAAGAAGAUGAGGAGGAGGGGGCCGGACGGCGGUGCCUCUUUUGCGGCGAGUGCGUGACGGUAUGCGCCUUUUGCGCUGGUGUGCAACUCUUUGCUGUAGCCCCGCUCUCUGUCUCUCUCUCUCUCCCGAGUCAGUGCGCGCUCUGAUACGCAGGGUGUGUGUAUGUGUGUGUAUGUGUGUGUGUGUGUGUGUGUGUGUGUGUGUGUGUGUCGGGGGUGGGUGGAGGGGGCACGGCCCUAUUGCAUCACUCGUUGUUUUCCUUGUGCAGCCACGAUGCUCUCUUUCCGAUCAUCUCACUUUAUGCACUCCGUCUUUGCACCGCUGCCUUUUGUUCAUUUGUGCCCACACCCCACCCGUCACAAAUGCCAG
rnacentral:misc_RNA from 1 species